rnacentral:rRNA from 1 species
UACGUAGGGCCCAAGCAUUAUCCGGAAUUACUGGGCGUAAAGAGUGCGUAGGUGUUCCUUCAAGUCGGUCGUUAAAUCUUAGAGCUUAACUCUAAGGCCGCGAGCGAUACUGAAGGAAUUGAGUACUGCAGGGGCAAGCAGAAUUUUUGGAGUAGGGGUGAAAUCCGUUGAUAGCAAAAGGAAUACCAAUGGCGAAGGCAGCUUGCUAGGCAGAUACUGACACUGAGGCACGAAAGCGUGGGGAGCAAACGGG